AAUAACUAGCCGCAUAGGUUGUGUGCCCAUGAAGCCAGUCCUAGUUAGUGCGUAUUCGUGUUUACUUAUUUCAGAGUUCAAAGUUCUGAAGAUAUUUAGAGUCUGAAGGAAGACCCAGUGGCGUAAGAGAUUUUAACAUAAUGAGCCAGAUCUGGGCACCAGCGUGGAGAUGCAUUUUUACAGGGUGAAUCAUUAAUUGGGCAUUCUAAGAGUCACUCAGCCUUUUCAAUGAUUCAUCAGCCAUGCUGAUGCUGUUAUAUAGUUCAUAUUAUUGUUGUAAUUAGCUGAUGCUUGUCAAAUGUAAACCUGGCUCUAACCUGGGUGUUUUCAAAAACAGCACCAGUUACUGUGUAUCCAGGUAGAGGGGGUCAGCAUACUAUAACUCUCUGUUUUCCUGACUUGUAAUAAUUAACCCCUUCUCUCAGGGGACGCACUUUCAUUGUCUUUCCUGUAAACAGUUGGUAAUUGUGAGUGGAGCUGUGGAGUGAGAAAGUGGGUACUGCUUUUCCUGUUUCAAGGGCCUGCAUGUUCAGAAGCAGCAGUGUGGCAUGGGAGAUGUUAUAGCAGCAGAGUCAGGGGCCAGUUCUUUCACUGCCUGAUAACUUGGGCCUUCCAAGGGAGAGGGAGGGAGGUGGUCACUGAGGGUGAGGCAAAGAAAGUGCUUGGUAAGGGAUUUCUGGGAUCCUUGAGCCCAGAGUGGAUUAGAUGGGAUUAGAGACCCACUCUGAGCAGUUUCUACCUGCAUCUUAAUCCACUCCAGAGCUGAGGCUUCCCGAUCCCCCUAACCAGGUGCAUGCUCACUGGGCUUCCAGCUUCCAAGCCUUCUACCUGUGGAAUGCUUGGUCCAGUGUCUGGGGCACCCACUCUUACUCCAAACUCCUCCAGAUCUGCAGAGUGGCCCAGCAUAUUCUCUUCUGGAAAGGAGGUCUUCGCGUAACAGAAGUGAGUCUGUAACCCUAGGCCGAUUGGAGAAAGGGGUGUGGUGUGCAUGUGACGUGUUUUCUUGCCUCCAGGGCAGGUCAAGGAAUCCUUCCUUGACCCUUAAAAACAGCAGUGGUUUCAACAAGUUUUCUCCUUUCUGCUUUUAACUUUUUCUUGGUUCAUAGUCUGCAUGCUACUGUCCCAUUGAGCCAGGAGGAGAGCAGGAGCGGGGGAAAGCUGGGGUCUGAUGGGGGCUGGGAACCUUGUGGCCUGUGCCUGAGCUCUGUGGGACCAUGUUGGGGCAGGGAUGGGAGUGCCCUGGGCCUUGAAGCAGGUUGGCUGUGGCUCAACACUGACCAAAUGCACCCAACCUUGGCUAAGGCUUCUCCUUAUGGGGGAUCAUCAAUACCACAUCUUCCAGGCCCAUUUUCCUUACUUAACCAGCUGUUAGGCCAUGCAGAUUAGAGAAAUAUAGUUAACUCUACUUAACACAUCAUAAAUUACCCCCGUGUUUGUGUGCCCUUGUUCCCAAAGCAAAGGUUCUGAAACAACCUUAGUUGAGAUAGACAUUUCCAGUGAGGGUAGGUAUAUCAGUAGAUUGAGAGGAAGCAUGCCAACGCAGGUACAAUUUGCUUAUUUGUUUUUAGUUGCUGUAGAUAAACCCUAAUUCAUAACUAUUUGCUGGAGGUGAAUUGGGCCCCCAUCCGCUCCACUUCUAAGGCAAGCUUAAACUUCUCCCUGAUAACCUGUCAGUGGUUUUGCCUUUAAAGACCCAGCCUUAUCAGCCCAUUUUCUUAUUGCCACAAAAAAACCUGUGCAGCCGCUGACCUCCUCUGUGACCUUGGGCAAGUCCUUUCCUUACACUGGGCAUUCACUGCCCCAUCUAUAAGCAGAUGGUAGUAGACUGGCCCAUCUCUAUGCCGGAGAACUUUGUCUUCAAACCCCACAGCCUUCUCUUUGAGCUGCGGGCAGGGCUACUGGUCGAUGCAGGAGGAGGAGGCCUUGGAGAGGUCCCUCUGGCGAGGAAGCCCAUCCGAGCGGCUCUCAUAGGUCACACACUUGAAACCAAGUGUGCGUCUCCACUUGCACGGUAAAAUCUCGGUGCUGACCCAAGGCUCUGAUGGUAGGUUUUCUAGGAAAGGCUGGUGGGUUUCCUCACUGGGAGCAAGGCAUCCUCUGCAGUCACAUAUUGGCAAUGACAGCUCAUUCUCGCUAGGGUCUGUCCUGCACACAUAACAAAAAUAACCAUAAAAGUCCCUAUUAUUUACUGAGGGCUUAUCAUGGGUGAGGUGCUGCACUGAGGGGCAGUCCCUCCAGGGGUAUUAUUUCCAUUUCACGGGGAGAAGUGUUGUUGAAGUUCAGAGAGGUUAGGUAACCUGCCUAAGGCCUCACAGCACCGCGAGUGGCAGAGCUGGGAUUCUACCCCAGGCACUCAGCUCUGAAGCCCGAGCUCCUGACCACUUUGCCUGUAUCCUUCCAUAAAUGUAAUCUUUAAGCUGCGGCUGUUCCCUGUUAAGCCCCUGUUUAAAGAUCUAUGAAAAUAGAUGCCUCCUCCGAGUCGCAGCCUUCUCUGAUUCUUCUUAUCAUCAUGAGAGCAGAUACCGAGAGGCACAGAUGGCCAAAAGGUUUUAAGUUCCCUCUGUUCUCUUGUAAGAUGCAGUGCCAAGUAAUAUCCUGGGGUUACUCACACUGCUAUGGCCUCUAGUUGAAGAUAGGAGUGCUAUGGUUUUUUUCUUGGCAAGAAAUUGUGGACCGGGGUGAUAUCCAAUCACAGUCCUCUGGCCUCAUUUGGGACACAGAGGGCAAGUAUUUUUUUAACCCUAUUAUUUUACAAAAAUAUUAAAAGGCAAGCAACUGGACAUGGUGUCUCAUGCUCUAAUCCCAUCGUUUAUGGGAGGCCGAGGUGGGAGGAUCCCUUGAGGCCAGGAAUUCGAGAUCAGCCUGGACAACAUGGUGAGACCCCGUCUCUACAAAAAAAAAAAAAAAAAAAAAAAAAAUAGUCGAGUGUGGUAGUGCACACCUGUAGUCCCAGCUACUUGAGAGACUGAGGCAGGAGGAUUGCUUGAACCCAGGAGCUUAAAGCUGCAGUGAGUUAUGAUCGUGCCACUGCACUCCAGCCCGGGUGACAGAGCAAGAUUCCAUUAGACUGGGUAACAGAGUGAGACCCUGUCUCAAAAAUAACAGCAAGUAAGCAAUCAUGGUUUUUUGACUUUUCAAGGAAUUUGCAAACAACAUGUAUUCUCUUCACCCAUCUAGCUUUUGGGAAAGGACACCCAAAUUCCAACAGUCACCUACCUAGAAAAAUAGAUAACCACAGCCAUCGUCCAUUCCAUUGCGACUUGGUGAUGUCAGAAGGUCUCAGGCUCAGGAGGGGCAUCCCUCAGGGCCUCUCGGCCAAUAUCCCGAUUCCUUAAACUGGGACAGUGUUUUCUGUCUGCAGAUUGUGCUCCCUCCUUGGAAUGGGCUUAUCUGGCCUGACCCUGCAUAUGCCCAGCAGGGACUGCAUCCCUCAGUUCAUAGAUACAGAGGUUGAAGGUCAGGGAGGUGAAGACAGAAGGGGCAGCCAGUCAGAGCCAGCAGCUGCAGCAGGACCCAGAUUUCUUGGUUCUGAGUCCAGGAUUCUUUCCACUCCACCGGCUCUCAUGUAUGGACAGCUCAGGGGUCAGAGAAAGCACCUUUAUUUCUGAAUUUCCUUCUUCUCUCCUAUAGCCUUAUGACCAGUGUUCAGAAGAUUUAUCUCUUUCUAGCUUGGGACUUGCACCCAGCAAGUUUCCAUGCAAGGCAGCUGCCUUUAAGAAGAACAGAAGAGUCCCAGUUGGGCUUAUGGGGAAUGAAAUCAGUCCCAAGCCCCGAUCUCUCUGAAAAGUUGUUAUUAAAUUCUGUGCCUGGCCCUGACCUGGAUUUAAAGAUUUGCAAGAAGACAAAUUCCAAACAGAUGCCCAUUAGGGCCCUGACAGCCGCAGCUUAAAGAUAACAUUUACAUUCUGCCGGGGUUUGUAUCUCUCUGUUCCCCACUCGGCCCCUCUCUUUCCUCCGGUGGGAUCAAUACCUCGGUUGAGGUUACGUGGAGGUGGCCACAUUCUUUUAAGCUGUUUGCUCAGUGCUUGGUUUGCUCUGCUAACAUGCUGGGCACUUCUUCCAACAGCCCUGUUUGCCCAGCAUUAGGGCUGUUUGUUGAAACACCUAGCCCAAUCCGAGGGGGCUCAGCUUUCUAAACAGUUGGUCCCCGAAUCUGUCAAUCAAUAACACCAAUUGGGUUCCUGAUACGAACAGCAAGUGUGGCCAAGUCCAAUAUUUGCCCAAACACUGCCUUCUCCUCCUGCACCUGACUGUCCCCCAGCUUGACUAAAAGGACGAUCACCAGGCGCACGGGCUGCUGGGAAGAUACAAUGUUGGCAAACAGGGAGCUGGUUCCAGGAAAGAAGGGCACAUGAGCAAACAUGAUGGCCCCUUUAUGAGAGGUAAUUUACUGAAAUGCACAGCGAUUACCUGCUCAUCCAGCCCUGAUGUAAUUAAAAAUGGCAGGCUAGGGCCUCUGUUUCCCCCGGCGCUGGCAGAGAAACCCGGGUUUCGACUUGUGAAGCUUGAGGCUGGAUGUGGGAAUUGGCUUGGAGUCAUAGGCGAUGAGAGGGACAUUAGGAUAUUAUCAAGCCCGUGAACUCAACUCCCAAGAAGGACACAGCAGAGCGAGAAAAAAGGUACCUUCAAAAGAGGCUGAUGUUCAUUGGGUACAGGCUUUUCUUUUGGGAUGAGGAAAAAAAUGUUUUAGAACUUGUGAGAGGUGUUGGUUGUGCAACAUCGUGAAUGGACUAAAUGCCAAAGAAUUGUUCACUUUAAAAUGGUUAAUUUUAUGUUGUGUGAAUUUCAUCGAAAAAAAAUAAAAAGGGUGAAUCCCAAUGAACCCGGGUCAUUUACAUUUCAGAAGCUCUAAUGCGUAACUCAGGGUUUGGCUCAGAGUAAAUGCUUAAUAAAUGUUUAUUGAAAGAACAACCUAACAUUUGCACAGUCAACAAAGCUCUUUGUUAUACAUUAGCUCAUUUCAUUUUUAAAGAACCCUCUGAGGUGGGCAGGGGUAAGCAUUCUCAUGGUGUAAAGGGGAAACUAAGGCUUUGAGAGGAGUGUGGCUUGCACAAUGUCACGUAGCUAGUGGCAGCAGUGCCAGAAUUCAAACCCAAAAGUCUCUGGCUCCAAAGUCUGUGCUUGUAAAGCAAUACUAUUUGGUCUACCUCAUGGCUUUCAGGAUGGGAAAGAAAGCAAUAGGGUUUUAAAAUAUGUUCUCCCCCCUUCUUUUUUUUAGGGUGUUUAUUACUAAAAGUGUUUUAAAACUGGACCACUGAGUAAAGUCACUCCAUCUCCUACCUUUCCUAGCACAGUGCUUGAUAAAUAUUUGCUGGCUUAUUCAGCUGCAGCUGCAGAGACCUACCUGUGUUUGCUGUGGUGACUGUCCGGGGCAAAGCUCAGGCAGCUGAAAGUAUCAGUGAAGCCAGAAGAUUCUGGCUGUUCAGGGUCUAUGAGGAGUCAAGGUCUGGGGUUUGUGUCCUCUGCAUAGCAAUGGCACUGCAACGGGGGAGCCUGGUGCUGGGCUGGGCCAUCUCGCUACUGUCACCUGCCUGUUGAGGGGUGACGGUGGUUGUUGAGAGGCUGGAUCAGACCCCAGAGGUGACAUGGAUGUGACAUAUUUGUUGGGCUUACACAGCCUUGCGUUUUAUUUUCAUCUCUGUUCCUUCCUCCCAUGAGAUCUUGGGUGGUGCUUUGUCAACCCUGAGUAAUCGUUUCUUCAUCUGCAAGAUGGAAUAAGAAGGCCUACCUCAUUGGGCUCUUGUGGGUGAGGAGAACUGAAGAGUCUGAGAGCGCGGCACGAGCCAGAGGCUACGGAAAACACUGCCCUCCCACACUCCACCUUGGAGAGACCCAGAAAAGAACAAGCUUCAUUUGAAAAAAAGGAAAACAGCUCAGGCAAUGGGGGUGGCUUAAAGGCACUCUACAGUGUGCAGAUGCCUUCCACUUCUUCCAUCUGCCGUGUCUCUCCAAGAACCCCUAUGGCCCCAGGCUCAGAACCGAGCUGAGUGCAGAAAUGAAAAUCUAUGGCUCUGUGUUCCAAAACGAUGAAGAAUUUCAAGAUGGUGGCAGUGGUAAAAUCCUCCUCCAGGAAAAAUCUGUCCGUGGCCCAAUGUGUAAACACUUGCUGAGGAACUUGGAGUAACUUGCAGUGUCUUGCAGUAUUAUGAAACCAGCAACUUGUUCACAAUUCUCCUGAAUUUCUUGGGAAAUUUGAAGUGGAGUACCUGUACCAACAUGAAAUGACAUGAAUUUAAGUGAAGCUCAACAACGAAAAGCAAAAAGAACCAAAGAGGAAGCAACUGAAACAACAUCUGGAUGUAUUUAAAAAUAUACAGUGCCUCCAAAAUCAGGUGUCAUUAAUGAAAAUUCUGAAGAAAUGCCACCGGACAUAGCCAAUGCACCUAUACUAUUGUUAUUCAUUUCCUGCUUUUCACAGAAAACAAUUUUGUUGCAUGGAAGAUUGUGAACUUCAAAGGGCAGAGGGGAAACUCUCCCUUGGCCGCUACCCCUCCAAGGCCCCACUUUUUCGUCAACAAUCCUUGGACGCAGCCGAGGUAUGAACAUAAUAUGGUCCUGAAUGAGGCUGAGUCUUUGGGCGCAGAAGACCCGGGUUAAUAAAAAUAGGAAGAUCAGGAAACUGAAUCUCAGAACAAUGGCAUACUUGGCAAAUAAUGACACCUUCAGCUCUGCUUGAGAUCAGACGCAGCAAGUCCAGUGGAGGCCCAGGUCCCAGCUCCUCUAGGAAACCUGUCCUGACGAUUCCAGGCCACAUGGAGUCCUUCCUUCUCCAAAGUAUUACUACGCUUAUUUUGAGGAAUAGAAAAAUAAUGCUAAGAAAGAAGCAAGGAAACAUUCGUACAAUUCUCAUGGCACGCUGAGUACUUGCCAGCACUCACGGGCGCCUAGGGACUACCUUGAGCAGGACUCAGGAUGAUGCUCAUUUUACAGGUGAGGAAACUGAGGUUCAGAGGGCUCAGGUCCCAACCCAUGUCUGUAUGUCGCCCACGUUCAAUGCGCUUUUCUCCCUUAUUCGGCCCCCCAUUCUCCUCCUCUAGAAUCGUUUCCUAAGUGCUUUCUUGUCUCUGCAAUUUGGCUGUAAGCUCAUCAAUCAUAGAGAUCAUGUCCCUGCUUGCACCCCAUGCAGCUGACCCGGGCUUGACCUCAGCAAAGGGUCAGCACAGACUUGAGGAGGCAGAGAUGGGGCAGAGGCAGCAGGCCAGCUCCAACUCCCCUCAGCCGCUUCCUGGCACAGUGAGGGCUGUUAGUCUAUUUCUCAGAACCUCAGUUUCUUCAUCUAUAAAACGGGGUGGUACUAACCAUGGAGGCUCAGGCUCGCUGAGUGAAGGUGCAGUAAGGUAAGGAGCUUUGAGUGUCAAGAGCCCAGUGUGAAGCCUGGCACAUAGUGGGUAUGUAAUAUGAACUGGGAUUACUCUUGUCAGCCUGCUCAUUUUGUGGGGCAUCUCUGGGGUGCCCUCUCACCCCCAGCAACUGUGACCCAGCCUUCCUUUCCUGGAGGAAGCCUGCCUCUCCCUGGGCCCUGUGUGUGUAGGGGCUGGAUCUGGCUGAUAGGCACACAGGGGACUGUGUUUCUGCGUCACUCACUUUGGGUGGUGGCUGUGAACACUGCAGUCUGUGUGUCCCUGCCGUGCCUCCAGACUUUGUUAACCCUGAGAGCUGAGGGUUUGUCGGUGCUUCCAGACUCCCAGGAGGAGGAGAGGACCUCAGCUGAGACACUGGUUUCCCCUGGCUAGCCUGCCUCGAGCUAGGGAGAAACCCUUCAAGAUGAGCUCCCAGCUUCAAAGCCCAGCGGGGGUGGGUGGCUGACUACAGGGGCAGAGCACAGCCCAGGAGAUGGCCGCUGCAGACAUGCUGCCAGGCACACCUCAAUCACCACCAAAGCAGCAGCUGCCAGGCCCUCUUUUGAUGGAAGAGAGACGUGGAGGUGGGGAGAAGAGAGCCUCCCAAGUCAGGGAGCCAGGGGUGGGACGGGGUGGGCCAUCUGCAUGAUCUGAGCUUCCAGUUUAGUUCUCCCAGUCUUUAGUAUUAAAUGGCAAAGGCUCCCUUGGAUGCUCAAAUCAAGCAGAUAUCUUGAAGGGGAGUUUGGACCUGUCUGGGGCAGGAGUGCUGGUAACCAUGGGUGGUGUUUUCUCUGUACUGAGUUAUCACCUAGCUGUACAUACAGCCCUGCCUACAUCCCGCCCUUGCUCCCUCAGCCUCAACCACUCUGCACUUUCUUCUGUCCCUUGAAUAAACCAAACACGUUCUUUCCCCAGGCCUUUGCUUUGACUGUUUCCUCCUCU